CUCUCAGAUAUUCCUUCAGUACCAAUAGGUUUUACUGAUAUCCUCUAAUUCAGAGCAAAUUGGGAUGUGAUAACAAAGAGGAUAAAAGAUUGGAAAUGGGAAGAAGGAAGCUGGCCUUCUGUCUUGGUAUAAAUAAUAAGGAAGAAAUAUGUGGUUUUUGGGAAAGCUCGAGCAGGCAACCACUAAUGAAGCACAGAGAAGUCUCUAAUUUUUGAAUGAUGUAGUAAGUAAAGAUUUCCACAGCAUCACAAGAGAAUAAUCUGGAAAGAGCACUGUCAAACUCGUGAAUGUAAAGACAGCUCUUCAGCAGAUCUUAUGAUUUGAACAAAUUUUGUGAGAAAUACAACCUGCUCUGAGAAGAUAAGAAACAGAGAAAGAUAAGGAAAAAAAGCCUGCUAAGGGACAACGAACUGGGAGAGAGUAUUUACGGAAUAUAUAGGACAAUAAAUUUGACUCCUCUGGUAUUUU